rnacentral:rRNA from 1 species
UCAGGAUGAACGCUGGCGGCGUGCCUAAUACAUGCAAGUCGAACGAACUUCCGUUAAUUGAUUAUGACGUACUUGUACUGAUUGAGAUUUUAACACGAAGUGAGUGGCGAACGGGUGAGUAACACGUGGGUAACCUGCCCAGAAGUAGGGGAUAACACCUGGAAACAGAUGCUAAUACCGUAUAACAGAGAAAACCGCAUGGUUUUCUUUUAAAAGAUGGCUCUGCUAUCACUUCUGGAUGGACCCGCGGCGUAUUAGCUAGUUGGUGAGGUAAAGGCUCACCAAGGCAGUGAUACGUAGCCGACCUGAGAGGGUAAUCGGCCACAUUGGGACUGAGACACGGCCCAGACUCCUACGGGAGGCAGCAGUAGGGAAUCUUCCACAAUGGACGCAAGUCUGAUGGAGCAACGCCGCGUGAGUGAAGAAGGGUUUCGGCUCGUAAAGCUCUGUUGUUAAAGAAGAACGUGGGUAAGAGUAACUGUUUACCCAGUGACGGUAUUUAACCAGAAAGCCACGGCUAACUACGUGCCAGCAGCCGCGGUAAUACGUAGGUGGCAAGCGUUAUCCGGAUUUAUUGGGCGUAAAGCGAGCGCAGGCGGUCUUUUAAGUCUAAUGUGAAAGCCUUCGGCUCAACCGAAGAAGUGCAUUGGAAACUGGGAGACUUGAGUGCAGAAGAGGACAGUGGAACUCCAUGUGUAGCGGUGAAAUGCGUAGAUAUAUGGAAGAACACCAGUGGCGAAGGCGGCUGUCUGGUCUGCAACUGACGC